UGGCUGCAUAUAACGGAAACUUUCGGCAACAGGGUUAAGUAGCUGGCUCGCUAUUUCUUUUCAUGAACUGAAGUUCAUUUUCAAUAGGCGAACAUCAAGUGGCAACCUAGCUAAUACUUUACUCACAAUGAUUCCUAAAUCAUUGCUAAGAAUAAUGAAAAUGACUGCAGUUUAUACUGGUCAUUGGCUGGUUGUAUUGGUGCUAGCUAAGGUACCAAGUUAAAGCUAUCAACCCCAAAAGUUGCGUUCGAACAAAUAAUGCUUUAUUACCAACGUGGUAUUGUAAACACAUAGUUCGUGGCCGGUGUUUGCUUGUUUGCAGACUUUUUUUGUACAGCUUUGACAGUGCUACUGUAUCUUUUUUGACACGCAAAGACCCAAACGGCGUUCCAUAGUAUGUAUGUCGUGAAGCUAAUAGCAGUGACAAUAUUACUGUGUAACUCCGGUAGGGCCACAUCGGAAAAAUAGCGCACUUGGUUGUGUGUACCAGUGCUCGACCAGUCGGCGAAAGCCAACAUCACCCACGACAGAUAAUGGAAUUCAUUGCCCUUGACAAUCAACCGUUAUCUUGGCUUUAAUAGAUUUCGCCUUUGUUUCACUGAAAUGUUCUUACUCUUUCAAAUGACUGCUGGAUUCACACAGCAGACAUGGUGGGCUAGGAUGGGGAUGCUAUGUUGCACGUGUAGCGCAAAAUUUCACUUGAGUUCAUUACCUCCUGUACCUACGUUAUAUAGGUUGGAGGCAGGGCUUUCUCCUAUAGAUCUCCAUUUUUAUGGAAUGGUCUGCCUACCCACGUGAGAGACUUGCAGACUCUGUCUCAACCUUUAAGUCUUUACUGAAGACUCAUCUCUUCAGUGGGUCAUGUGAACGGAAUGGCUCUGGAGCAACGAACCGCCCUUGCUGUCUCUGCCUGGCCAGUUCCCCUCUCUCCACUGGGAUUCUCUGCCUCUAACCUCUAACUCUAAUUACAGGGGCUGAGUCACUGGCUUACUGGUGCUCUUCCAUGCCAUCCCUAGGAGGGGUGCAUCACUUGAGUGGGUUGAGUCGCUGACGUGGUCUUCCUGCCUUGUCUCAGGAUGAAAACUGCAGAGGGAAGCAGUACCUCCCUCCAUUGUUUUAACAAGAGAUCUCUGAGGGUUUUCAAUGAUAAGGGCAAAUCCAAGCUCCAGUGUUUGACUGCAGUCUUCCAGUUUCACUGAUGCCAUCUCUGGAUCCUGCAGAGCAAACUGGGCUCCACUCUCACAAUCAAGACCCAGUGACUGGGUUUGUCCUCACUGUUGAUGUUACCAGCCUCAGACUUAAUCUGAGUUG